CCUGGGUUUGAAUAAACAUCAUUGAGUGCAGCGUUGAUGUAAGUUUACUUAUUUUAUUCCAUUGUUGAAUGAAUUAAAAUGAUACAGAAUACAUCAGCGUUGCAUUCAAUUAUGUUUUUCUAAUUUUCAGG
rnacentral:pre_miRNA from 1 species